rnacentral:rRNA from 1 species
UGUGACCUCAAAUCAGGUAGGACUACCCGCUGAACUUAAGCAUAUCAAUAAGCGGAGGAAAAGAAACUAACAAGGAUUCCCCUAGUAACUGCGAGUGAAGCGGGAAAAGCUCAAAUUUAAAAUCUGGCGGUCUUUUGGCUGUCCGAGUUGUAAUCUAGAGAAGUGUUAUCCGCGCUGGACCGUGUACAAGUCUCCUGGAAUGGAGCAUCAUAGAGGGUGAGAAUCCCGUCUUUGACAUGGACUGCCAGGGCUUUGUGAUGCGCUCUCAAAGAGUCGAGUUGUUUGGGAAUGCAGCUCAAAAUGGGUGGUAAAUUCCAUCUAAAGCUAAAUAUUGGCGAGAGACCGAUAGCGAACAAGUACCGUGAGGGAAAGAUGAAAAGAACUUUGGAAAGAGAGUUAAACAGUACGUGAAAUUGCUGAAAGGGAAACGCUUGAAGUCAGUCGCGUUGUCCAGGGAUCAACCUUGCUUUUGCUUGGUGCACUUCCUGGUUCGACGGGUCAGCAUCAAUUUUGAUCGUUGGAAAAAGGCCAAGGGAAUGUGGCAUCUU